GACGAACGCUGGCGGCGUGCUUAACACAUGCAAGUCGAACGGUCAAGCGCCUUCCUUUUUGGUGGGUGUGUAUGAGUGGCGAACGGGUGAGUAACACGUUAGUAACCUUCCCCCUUCUUCUGGAUAACCGCAUGAAAGUGUUGCUAAUACGGGAUAUUUUGGGUCUGUCGCAUGAUUGGUCUGGGAAAGAUUUUGUUUCGGUGGGGGAUGGGCUCGCGGCCUAUCAGCUUGUUGGUGGGGUGAUGGCCUACCAAGGCGGUGACGGGUAGCCGGCCUGAGAGGGUGGGCCGCCAUAGUGGGAAUGAGCGGCGGACAAGACUACUACGGGAGGCAGUAGGGGGGAAUCGUGAACAGUGGGAGCACGGCUGGUGCAGCGACGCGGCGUGAGGGAUGGAGUCCGUCGCGUAGUAAACCGCUUUCGGGAGUGAAGAAGGCUUGAAUCGUUUGUGCGUGGGUUGACGGUAGCUGGACAAGAAGCGCCGGCUAACUACGUG
rnacentral:rRNA from 1 species